rnacentral:misc_RNA from 1 species
GAUGAAGAACGUAGCGAAAUGCGAUAAGUAGUGUGAAUUGCAGAAUUCAGUGAAUCAUCGAAUCUUUGAACGCACAUUGCGCCCUAUAGUAUUCUGUAGGGCAUGCAUGUUCGAGCGUCAUUUGUACCUUCAAGCUUUGCUUGGUGUUGGGUGUUUGUCCUCUCCCUGGUGUUUGGACUCGCCUUAAAACAAUUGGCAGCCAGUGUUUUGGUAUUGAAGCGCAGCACAAUUUGCGAUUCUGGCCUUAAAAUACUAGCGUCCAUAAGUACAUUCUCACUUUUGACCUCGGAUCAUGUAGGGAUACCCGCUGAACUUAAGCAUACCAAUAAGCGGAGGA